rnacentral:misc_RNA from 1 species
GAUGAAGAACGCAGCGAAAUGCGAUAAGUAAUGUGAAUUGCAGAAUUCAGUGAAUCAUCGAAUCUUUGAACGCACAUUGCGCCCUCUGGUAUUCCGGGGGGCAUGCCUGUUCGAGCGUCAUUAUAACCACUCAAGCUUUGCUUGGUGUUGGGCGUCUUGUCGUAUUACGACUCGCCUUAAAUACAUUGGCAGCCGGCACUUUGGCCUAGGAGCGCAGCACAUUUUGCGAUCGUAGCCCGUUGUACUGGCGUCCAUCAAGAACAUUUACCACGUUUGACCUCGGAUCAGGUAGGGAUACCCGCUGAACUUAAGCAUAUCAAUAAGCGGAGGA